rnacentral:tRNA from 1 species
GGGGAUUAGCUCAGUGGUAGAGUGCUUGCCUAGCAAGCACAAGGCCCUGGGUUCGGUCCCCAGCUCCG